AGAAUCAACGCUGGCGGCGUGCCUAACACAUGCAAGUCGAACGGGAAAGUGGAGCAAUCCAUGAGUAUAGUGGCGACCGGGUGAGUAACACGUGACUAACCUACCCUUGAGUGGGGAUAACCUCGGGAAACCGGGCUAAUACCGCAUAAAAUCUUCGGGAUGAGAAGCUGGAGAUCAAAGGAGCAAUUCGCUUUUGGAGGGGGUCGCGGCUGAUUAGCUAGUUGGCGGGUAACGGCCCACCAAGGCUUUGAUCGGUA
rnacentral:rRNA from 1 species